rfam:Hanseniaspora valbyensis NRRL Y-1626 HANVAscaffold_15, whole genome shotgun sequence.
GCCCGCUUGGCCAAGUUGGUAAGGCGUUGCACUUGUAAUGCAAAGAUCACUAGUUCGAAUCUGGUAGUGGGCA